ensembl:misc_RNA
UUUAGAGACCAGGAGAAUGAAGUCAUCUUUUUCAUAGAACAGGUAAAGCAUAAGCAGUGACGAGGCAAACCUCCCACACACCCCUGCUAAUAUGCCUCAUCCCUGACGUGAAAGGACCUCUUCCUGCGUUGAGAUAGGAGUUCAGUCUCCAUGACCCAUAUGGUCCAUAGCCUUG